rnacentral:snRNA from 1 species
AACAGACAGAUGUCCAGGAAGAGAAA